UGAGGAAUAUUGGUCAAUGGGCGAGAGCCUGAACCAGCCAAGUCGCGUGAGGGAAGACGGUCCUAUGGAUUGUAAACCUCUUUUGCCGGGGAGCAAAGAGCGGCACGUGUGCCGCGCCGAGAGUACCCGGAGAAAAAGCAUCGGCUAACUCCAUGCC
rnacentral:rRNA from 1 species